rnacentral:rRNA from 1 species
AACGAACGCUGGCGGCGUGGAUAAGACAUGCAAGUCGAACGCUGAUUUCAGGGUAGCAAUAUUCUGGAGUCGGAGUGGCGCAAGGGUGCGUAACACGUGGGUAAUUUGCCAUGAAGCCCGGAAUAACUCGCUGAAAGGCGAGCUAAUACCGGAUGUGAUCUUCGGGAGGCAUCUCCUGAACCUUAAAGCUGGGGACCGUAAGGCCUGGCACUUCUUGAUAAGCCCGCGGCCUAUCAGCUAGUUGGUGAGGUAACGGCUCACCAAGGCUAAGACGGGUAGCUGGUCUGAGAGGACGACCAGUCACACUGGGAACUGAGACACGGUCCAGACACCUACGGGUGGCAGCAGUCGAGAAUUUUUCNCAAUGGGCGAAAGCCUGAAGGAGCGACGCCGCGUGGGGGAUGAAUGGCUUCGG